rnacentral:tRNA from 1 species
GUGGUGGCUCAGGGGUAGAGUCCUCACCUUCCACGUGGGAGAUCUGGGUUCAAUUCCCGGCCAGCACA